rnacentral:misc_RNA from 1 species
GAUGAAGAACGUAGCGAAAUGCGAUAAGUAAUGCGAAUUGCAGAAUUCAGUGAGUCAUCGAGUCUUUGAACGCACAUUGCGCCCCCUGGUAUUCCGGGGGGCAUGCCUGUCCGAGCGUCAUUGCUGCCCUCAAGCACGGCUUGUGUGUUGGGCCUCCGUCCUCCUCCCGGGGGACGGGCCCGAAAGGCAGCGGCGGCACCGCGUCCGGUCCUCGAGCGUAUGGGGCUUCGUCACCCGCUCUUGUAGGCCCGGCCGGCGCUUGCCGACACAUCAAUCUUUUUUCCAGGUUGACCUCGGAUCAGGUAGGGAUACCCGCUGAACUUAAGCAUAUCAAUAAGCGGAGGA